CUACUCUACCCAGCCGGCACCGCUCGGUUAGCUGACGCUGAGGUAGCCGGGGAGGUGCGUCCCGUCGGUCCCCCGCCCCAGAGCGGCCGCAGUCCCGGCUCCCGGAGUGGUGGUCCCUGCCCCGUCCAGAGAAUAACAUGGGGAGGCCGAGGAGCCUGCGCUGCGGCGGACGACCAGCCCCGCCGGCGGUCGCUGAGGCUGGGGUUCCAAUGCCAGUCUUCCAGUGCCAGUGCUGCUUCCCAGCCCACACAUCCCUCUCACCACUGCUGCAUCCUAAGGAAGUCAGCAACCUUCAGGGGGUACUUGUUCCUAGAGCCAGAGUAGAGGAGGGUGGCGCUUCCAAGGCUGUGGGCAUCCAAAGAAAGAGUGCUGUCCAUCCUCCUCCUGCCUACUGAUCUCCCAUCAGCAGAACCCCACUGGAGACCUACUGGCAGCUUUUUUUAGGGCCGCUCUCGAAUCAGAGCUACAGCUGCCAGCUUAUAUCACAGCUACAGCAACAUAGGAUCCAAGCUAUGUCUGCGACCUACAAUGCGGCUCACGGCAACGCGGGAUCUCUAACCCACUGAGCAAAGCCAGGGAUCAAAACUACAUCCUCAUGGGUACUAGUCAGAUUCAUUUCCACUACACCACAACAGGAACUCCCUACAUUUGUUUUGUGGUAACAAUUACCUGGUAAAUUUCCAUCUUCCAAUAGAGUUGUGCUACUCUCUUUCACAGUUUUCUUACUGUAUUUUUGAGUAGGUAUUGUGCAUAUAACUUUCAUGGUCCUCAAAAUUAAAUCCUCUGUUAUUAUUAGGAGGUGAAGAGAAGGACCCGGAGAGCUUUAUAGAAUUAGUUCUCAUGGGCUCUUUCCUCCGUUGCUAUAGCAAAAAAAAAAAAAAAAAAAAAAAAGUAUUUCCUUAAAAUACAGCAACUCUGUGAAGUCAUGCUUCCUGUGCCUCCAGGUACCUAACCAGGCUCUGAAAAGCUUCUACGUAUAGUUCUCAACUUCCUGAUUUAUUCACACACUGCAGAGACCCAGGCUUUGCCUUACAAAAUAAUAUGAUCACUUUUAGAAAGUUAUUACUGGUGGUUUCUAAGAUCUACUAUCUCUGAUUAGGCACUUCGUAUCUUUCUCUCUCUUUAGUGUUUAGACCCUAAUCAAUCUCAGUUCUUUCCCAGAAUGUCCUCUUGAAUUCCUACAUAGAUUUGCUGCACAGUGCUUAUGGUCUCAGUUGCUGACUACAGCAUUGACUGUAAUUUUGGAGUGUUGGGGUUUUGUUAGUCAGCUGUUUGCUGAAAAUUCAUUUUCUGUGACCUUAUUUUUUUUCUUCUUGUUGUUCUGGAUAGAUUUCAGGAGAAGGAAUGAAAAGUUUCAGAACUUAACAGACUCCCAUGUUCUCAUAGAAUGAUGAUAUAAUUUAUUUUUCUCCCAUGUUCUCAAAAGAAAUGAAAAAAUUCUCUGGAAGUACUAUGAUUAUUGGCUUUAGAUAAUGAACGAGAAUGUUCUAGUUAUCACCAGCCUAAUUCAAGCCAAUUAUAUAGAUUUUUCAUACCUACUAUAACAUUAAGGCUAUGUCUAGAAGAUAAUGUCACAAAGUAAUUUAAUGGAAAAUCAUUUAAGGCCUACAGUUCAGAUAAAUUAAGUUUUAAGCAAAAGAGGUUCUGAAAGAAGUAGA
rnacentral:lncRNA from 1 species